CACAAGCGGUGGAGCAUGUGGUUAAUUCGAAGCAACGCGAAGAACCUUACCAGGCCUUGACAUGCAGAGAACUUCCAGAGAUGGAUUGGUGCCUUCGGGAACUCUGACACAGGUGCUGCAUGGCUGUCGUCAGCUCGUGUCGUGAGAUGUUGGGUUAAGUCCCGUAACGAGCGCAACCCUUGUCCUUAGUUACCAGCACGUUAUGGUGGGCACUCUAAGGAGACUGCCGGUGUUAAACCGGAGGAAGGUGGGGAUGACGUCAAGUCCUCAUGGCCUUUAUGACCAGGGCUACACACGUACUACAAUGGCCGAUACAAAGGGCAGCGACACUGCGAGGUGAAGCCAAUCCCGUAAAAUCGGUCUCAGUCCGGAUUGGAGGCUGCAACUCGCCUCCAUGAAGUCGGAAUCGCUAGUAACCGCAGAUCAGCUACGUUGCGGUGAAUACGUUCCCGGGCCUU
rnacentral:rRNA from 1 species